CGAGCUCGCAGUGUUCGAACCAGGCGGGCAGCAGUUCCGAGCUCCUGGGGUGAACGAGGCGAGAGGUCCUGCCAGGCGAGACGUCCGUGGCAAGGUGCGGAGGAUCGCGGAGCCGAGCGUGGACGAGGGCGUCCGAGGAACCAGGGUUCCUGCUGCCAGUGCUCGAGACGCUGGCUGACCCGACUGUGCCGAGCAGCGUUCGUCUGGCACAGAUGUUGCUGUGCUAGACGCGGUCCUCACGUGCGACCGCCGCACGUGGAUUGCGAGCGGCGUACGAGCUGGGCACCGAGGUCGUGCUGGACAAGGCGUUCCCUGGCUGCUGCCGUUGCUGCUCCUGAGCGUGCCGAGCCCGAGAAUCGUACUGGACGGGGCCUGAACGUGUCGUCGUGGCAGUCGGCUCGAGCACGGGUGAACCCGCAGUGCCGUGACGACAGAAGCGUGAGCCUCGAAACACGGGACUGUCUCAGCCCGUUUAUACUCGUGUGCUGUGCGUGUGUGGACACACUGACUGCCGUUACACAGAUUAUCAACUCUCUGUAUAUACAUAUUUUAAAGAUUCUUUUUGAUUUUAUAAAUGCUCCAAAAC